AGUGAACGCUGGCGGUAGGCCUAACACAUGCAAGUCGAACGGCAGCACAGUAAGAGCUUGCUCUUACGGGUGGCGAGUGGCGGACGGGUGAGGAAUACAUCGGAAUCUACUUUUUCGUGGGGGAUAACGUAGGGAAACUUACGCUAAUACCGCAUACGACCUACGGGUGAAAGCAGGGGAUCUUCGGACCUUGCGCGAUUGAAUGAGCCGAUGUCGGAUUAGCUAGUUGGCGGAGUAAAGGCCCACCAAGGCGACGAUCCGUAGCUGGUCUGAGAGGAUGAUCGGCCACACUGGAACUGAGACACGGUCCAGACUCCUACGGGAGGCAGCAGUGGGGAAUAUUGGACAAUGGGCGCAAGCCUGAUCCAGCCAUACCGCGUGGGUGAAGAAGGCCUUCGGGUUGUAAAGCCCUUUUGUUGGGAAAGAAAAGCAGCAGGUUAAUACCCCGCUGUUCUGACGGUACCCAAAGAAUAAGCACCGGCUAACUUCGUG
rnacentral:rRNA from 1 species